UGAAGAGUUUGAUCAUGGCUCAGAUUGAACGCUGGCGGCAGGCCUAACACAUGCAAGUCGAACGGUAACAGGAAGCAGCUUGCUGCUUUGCUGACGAGUGGCGGACGGGUGAGUAAUGUCUGGGAAACUGCCUGAUGGAGGGGGAUAACUACUGGAAACGGUGGCUAAUACCGCAUAACGUCGCAAGACCAAAGAGGGGGACCUUCGGGCCUCUUGCCAUCAGAUGUGCCCAGAUGGGA
rnacentral:rRNA from 1 species